AAUUAAUUAGCAGAGUAAAAUACCAUCUUUACUUACACAGCUAUUUUCACAGUUCCUGUCGGCAGUCAUGUCCUGCGGGCGGUGGAUGGCGAAGAAAACACUGGCAGCGACAGUAGACCGUACGAUCAUGCGGACUCCAAUGACAACAUGAAUGUGGCGGAAAACUCGAAUACAAGCAUUUGAUGCCAAGUCGGAUAGGACGGAAGAGGGUAGGUGGCAUGACUCACAGCUUACAGCCAUUUUUAGGUAGAUUUAAGCAUUAAUUACAAGUACCAAUAGUCUUAUUGUAACCGAAUGUCUUGACCAUCUCUCUGUGCGGCCGUCCAGACCAGACUCUCAACUGCUGGUAAAUAUCGAUUUCUUGGAGACGUGGAGGAUUAGACAGCCUCGUUUUUGCCACACCAUGUGUCACAUUUUCAUCGCUCCGUACUUCGCCACCCCGACAGGGAGGCAUUAAUUCGCCCAUUGUUAAUGACUUGCGCCGGGAUUUUCUGUCCUAUCGUUGGUCACAGAGUGUCGGCGUCAUUCUCAGUGGACACACAGACGAAACAGGGACCUGUACACUCGUUAGAUGAUCUAACCAAGCUUAGACAUGCAGCUAGUCGUAACCUUGACUGGGAGGCGAUAAAAUCGGAUCGGUAUUCAACUGUCUUAGGUAUUCAUAUUCGUCGGUGCUGCAGUUGAGCGCGGACAUAUGGACGAUGCUGGCAUCCGGCUGCGACUGGUCGGAGAUCGGUAAGUCUCAGUGUGUUAACGUUUUGUUUUUGUUAUUCUUUACGGUAAAGAUUGCUCUAAGAUAAUCGAUUAUUGUCAGGUCCGAGUGUGUUGGCUCCCGGCUGCUUUGGGUAUUUUCAGAUAACAGUAAUUGACGUACCUUGUUACGGUAUUUUGCCGUCUAGUCGCUUCUGACGGCUGUAUAUUCCGACAUGACGUUGCAGUAUGAGUACCACGUACGUAUUAUGGGAGGCGGGCACACGCCGAUGACUCUUCCAGUGACAGACGAUUCGGCAGUUAUUCGGAUUCCGUCAGAGGAUAACCGUGGGCCUCCCGUUCCUUCGUUCCCCACCUGUGCUCACAUGGUAAUACAGUAUGUCACAGACACGGCAUCGAAGCUGUGAUUUUUGCUGGAUAUUCACUCGCAACGUCGGGCCGUUUGGAAGAGGAGGAGGAGGAGGAAUUUUUUAAUCUACGCUUUUCUUCUCGUUGGAUAAGUCGUAACGGGCCUGGAUCCGCCGGAAAGCACGGAUACUGGCCGUCGAUGGAUGGCACGACCAGAUCGGAGAGAGAAAGAAGACGUGGCUUUCAUUGUACGGCUUCUCCGUGUUGGCCGCGAAAUGGACUGCGGCCGGCGGUGGUGGCUUAAUAGACACACGGUGGUAGCAGCCACUGAAAUCUGGCGACGAUUGGCUGGUAAUAGCGAGUGGAGGCUGCCGUGGGUGCUCCCUACAGCAUUGUAGGGUUUGGUUACUGCUGCCGGCCUUGUCGUCACCUACAAAUGUGUUCUAGUUUUCCUGGUCGGGAGUGAAUCCAUCGACAAGACCCUACACUUCGUUGUGUGUCGCCUCUCGCCCGCAAACUGCUUAACAUUCCGUUACUCUUGUCGGCAGACGUGUGCCGAUACAACUGUCGUUUUUAGAUGUAGUAAACAUCUGCCCUCUUCCACCCUUUCUCCUAUUCCAUCGAUGCCAGAUUCCGAGACCGAUCCGUGACAUCGCGCCCGCUUUUAAAACGCUUUAAAAUGUUAUAAAAUCCCCGAAAACGCGCCAAAUCUCGAUCGUUAUUAAUUUAAAUCGUAUUAAGCAAUUUUAAAACAUCCGUCGACUUAAUUAAGAACUCACCGUUUAAAAACCGACUUUAGAAUAGGAGCC
rnacentral:lncRNA from 1 species